UAAUACCAGGAAAUGAUCACUAUAGCUGCCACAGCUAGCACAUCCUUAUCUGCAGCAAUCCUACCCCAUCCAGCCUCGUGGUAGCAUCUUUGGGUUUCAAUCCAGUCUAAAUGGAAUAUGUGAUGCAGUUUCUGAUGCACCAAAGAUAGAGGCGGAAGAAGUCGGGAUAGCCAGGUUGCAUUGAUACAUAGUAGCUAUUGCCGUCCGGAGAGCUUGGACUGGGUAUCGCCCUUUAAGGAAUCCUACUUGAUGAGUGUUACAGGAGCCUCUAGGAUCUCCCUAUCUUGUACCGAAAGCUUAGAGAGUUGAGCAUCACGCAGGAAAGAAAGACCUUUCUCCAGAUGAUCCUGGUUUUCUUCGUAAAACUGUUUAAAGUAAGAUUCAAGUUCCGCUACAAUGGUUUCAGUAUCUCAAGCCCAACCCUCCCCUGUCUUUAGUUUCUUAAUGUAAUGGGAUGCGGUGUUAAGCUUGGUCAAUCUAGCUAAAAGCCUGCCCGGUUUGUUUCCCCAUCUAUAAAACCUGUUAUUUGUGUGAGAAAUUUUGUAUUGUGCACUGUCAUGUAAUAAAGUGUUAAAUAAAGCCUUUGUGUCUGUGUAUUUUUUCUUGUCUUCAUCAGAGUUUGUGUGUUUGAAGGCUUUAUAGUGAGUUGUAAGUUCUUUUUGCAAAGAUGUAUACCUAUCAUUGAAGCGCCUUUUCUGUUUUAUUAAGUAUGCCGUGAUAUGGCCUCUCAGAACAGGUUUGGAAGCUGCCCAUAGUAGGUUAUGAUCGUCCCAGUGCGGCAAAUUAUCAUCAAGUUAUUCGCCCAAUGCUGCUUAAGGGCGCAGUGUGCCGCGAUCUCCGUCUGGAUAUGCAAACCGUCACCAUGUAACAACCACGUGAAUCCGGCCCAUUCUAAGUAUCAAUGUGUAAAAGUAUCCGUUGACAUGCCAUACAUCUUUCGCUGUG